rnacentral:pre_miRNA from 1 species
UAAAUACUCCCUCUGUCAGGAAAUACUUGUCGUUGAAAUGGGUAUAUCUAGACAUAUUUUAGUUCUAGAUACAUCUAUUUUUAUCAAUUUUUGCGACAUGUAAUUUCGGACGGAGGGAUACGAG